rnacentral:rRNA from 1 species
UACGGAGGGUGCAAGCGUUAUCCGGAUUCACUGGGUUUAAAGGGAGCGCAGGCGGGCUUGUAAGUCAGUGGUGAAAUACCCGUGCUUAACAUGGGGAACUGCCAUUGAUACUAUAGGUCUUGAAUAUCGUUGAGGUUUGCGGAAUGGGUCAUGUAGCGGUGAAAUGCAUAGAUAUGACCCGGAACACCUAUUGCGAAGGCAGCAGGCUAAGCGAAGAUUGACGCUGAGGCUCGAAAGCGUGGGGAUCAAACAGG